rnacentral:rRNA from 1 species
UGAGAGUUUGAUCCUGGCUCAGAUUGAACGCUGGCGGCAUGCCUUACACAUGCAAGUCGAACGGCAGCGCGGACUUCGGUCUGGCGGCGAGUGGCGAACGGGUGAGUAAUACAUCGGAACGUACCCUGUUGUGGGGGAUAACUAGUCGAAAGAUUAGCUAAUACCGCAUACGACCUGAGGGUGAAAGCGGGGGACCGAAAGGCCUCGCGCAGCAGGAGCGGCCGAUGUCUGAUUAGCUAGUUGGUGGGGUAAAGGCCCACCAAGGCGACGAUCAGUAGCUGGUCUGAGAGGACGAUCAGCCACACUGGGACUGAGACACGGCCCAGACUCCUACGGGAGGCAGCAGUGGGGAAUUUUGGACAAUGGGCGCAAGCCUGAUCCAGCCAUGCCGCGUGAGUGAUGAAGGCCCUAGGGUUGUAAAGCUCUUUCACCGGUGAAGAUAUUGACCGGGACCGGAGAAGAGGCCCAGGAUAACUUCGUGCCAGCAGCCGCGGGAAUACUACGGGCGCUAGCGUUGGUCGGAUUUACUGGGGCGAGAGCGCACGUGAGCUGACGAUUAAGACGCGUGUGAAAUCGGGGGGCUCAAACCCGGAACUGCCCUUGAUACUGGUACUCUUGAUUUCGAUAGAGGUGACUGGGAUUCCGAGUGUAGAAGUGAAAUUCAUAUAUAUUCGUAGGAACACCAUGGGCGAAGGCGGGUCAGAGUCUCGAUGCUGACGCUGACGUGCUGAAACGUGACGAGCAACAUGAUUAAAACCCUGGGUAGUCACGCAUAACUACGAUAGCUAUCCGUCGGCAAUAUACUGUUCUGGGGGCGCGAUUCAUUAUCUCCUCACCUGGGGAGACGGUCGA